UACGAAGGUGGCAAGCGUUGUUCGGAUUCAUUGGGCGUAAAGGGUGCGUAGGCGGCGCGGUAAGUCGGGUGUGAAAUCUUGGAGCUUAACUCCGAAACUGCAUUCGAUACUGCCGUGCUUGAGGACUGGAGAGGAGACUGGAAUUUACGGUGUAGCGGUGAAAUGCGUAGAUAUCGUAAGGAAGACCAGUGGCGAAGGCGGGUCUCUGGACAGUUCCUGACGCUGAGGCACGAAGGCCAGGGGAGCAAACGGG
rnacentral:rRNA from 1 species